rnacentral:rRNA from 1 species
CCUGAGAAACCCAAAAGAUUGAAUGGGGAGAUUCAUCGUCAGCUCAUAUUGUAUAUGUAUAAUUUAUGAUGCGAGAAAUACUUUAAUAGUAUUGCUUGUACAUGUUUAUACAUUUAUUUGCAAAAUGUUGUCGGCGUGCACUUCUCCCCUAKUAAAACGUCGCGACCCGUUGAGUGUUGGUCUACGACUCAAGUGGUAGACUUUAGUGUUUUAUUAACAUUUAAAGACCCUUGAUGUAAUCUGACCGGCUGCUUAGCGGUACUCGUACGGUAUUUAGCCGCAUAAUUUUAUGCGUCCAUAUCCGUCGCAAGCGCGAUUAGUUUCUGACAGUACGGAUUUAAUGCCGUCGUUGGUACUGGUCAGCUGUUGGCUGUUACGGUGUUCUAGGACUGGCUAAAAUAAUUACCGGUCAGCGAUGCUACUGCUUUGGGUACUUUCAGGACCCGUCUUGAAACACGGACCAAGGAGUCUAACAUGUGCGCGAGUCAUUGGGAUUUUUUUAAAAAUUAAACCUAAAGGCGCAAUGAAAGUAAAGGUCGUCCUUGCGUCGACCGAGGGAGGAUAAAUUAUAUUAAGAUAUAGUUUCGCACUCCCGGGGCGUCUCAUUCUCAUUGCGAGAAGAGGCGCACCUAG